UACGUAGGUGGCAAGCGUUGUCCGGAUUCAUUGGGCGUAAAGGGUGCGUAGGCGGCGCGGUAAGUCGGGUGUGAAAUUUCGAGGCUUAACUUCGAAACUGCAUUCGAUACUGCCGUGCUAGAGGACUGGAGAGGAGACUGGAAUUUACGGUGUAGCGGUGAAAUGCGUAGAUAUCGUAAGGAAGACCAGUGGCGAAGGCGGGUCUCUGGACAGUUCCUGACGCUGAGGCACGAAGGCCAGGGGAGCAAACGGG
rnacentral:rRNA from 1 species